UUAUUUGAGAGUUUGAUCCUGGCUCAGGAUGAACGCUGGCGGCGUGCCUAACACAUGCAAGUUGAGCGAUUUACUUCGGUAAAGAGCGGCGGACGGGUGAGUAACGCGUGGGUAACCUACCCUGUACACACGGAUAACAUACCGAAAGGUAUGCUAAUACGGGAUAACAUAUUUGAGAGGCAUCUCUUAAAUAUCAAAGGUGAGCCAGUACAGGAUGGACCCGCGUCUGAUUAGCUAGUUGGUAAGGUAACGGCUUACCAAGGCGACGAUCAGUAGCCGACCUGAGAGGGUGAUCGGCCACAUUGGAACUGAGACACGGUCCAAACUCCUACGGGAGGCAGCAGUGGGGAAUAUUGCACAAU
rnacentral:rRNA from 1 species